GAUGAACGCUGGCGGCGUGCCUAAUACAUGCAAGUCGAGCGAACAGACGAGGAGCUUGCUCCUCUGACGUUAGCGGCGGACGGGUGAGUAACACGUGGAUAACCUACCUAUAAGACUGGGAUAACUUCGGGAAACCGGAGCUAAUACCGGAUAAUAUAUUGAACCGCAUGGUUCAAUAGUGAAAGACGGUUUUGCUGUCACUUAUAGAUUGAUCCGCGCCGCAUUAGCUAGUUGGUAAGGUAACGGCUUACCAAGGCAACGAUGCGUAGCCGACCUGAGAGGGUGAUCGGACACACUGGAACUGAGACACGGUCCAGACUCCUACGGGAGGCAGCAGUAGGGAAUCUUCCGCAAUGGGCGAAAGCCUGACGGAGCAAAGCCGCGUGAGUGAUGAAGGUCUUCGGAUCGUAAAACUCUGUUAUUAGGGAAGAACAAAUGUGUAAGUAACUAUGCACGUCUUGACGGUACCUAAUCAGAAAGCCACGGCUAACUACGUG
rnacentral:rRNA from 1 species